UCCCUGGUGGUCCAGUGGCUAAGACUGCACUUUAAAUGCAGGGGCCCUGGGUUUGAUUCCUGGUCAGGGAA
rfam:TPA: Bos taurus chromosome 26, whole genome shotgun sequence.